UACGUAGGGGGCUAGCGUUGUCCGGAAUCAUUGGGCGUAAAGAGCGUGUAGGCGGCCCGGUAAGUCCGCUGUAAAAGUCAAAGGCUCAACCUUUGAAUGUCAGUGGAUACUGCCGGGCUAGAGUCCGGAAGAGGCGAGUGGAACUCCUGGUGUAGCGGUGGAAUGCGCAGAUAUCAGGAGGAACACCGAUGGCGAAGGCAGGUCUCUGGGCAUUAACUGACGCUGAGGAGCGAAAGCAUGGGGAGCGAACAGG
rnacentral:rRNA from 1 species